UUAAAUUUCCCUUUUUGUUCUUUCUGUGCACAUGGAAUUUACAUUUGCUCAUUUUUUGUGCAUCUAUGCUUGACGUUUGAAAAUCUGAAUCCAAUUUCAAACUCAUGGAUCUGGAAAUUAAUGAUGCGCUGGCGAUGGAAAUUUGUCAUGAUACCAGCAUAAAUUCACGGGACGGUUGGCGUUCCUCUCCGGCGUAGCAAUCUAUGGCUUGCUAAUUUUGGAGUGGCUAGGAUUGGAGCUCAGAAUCCAAAUGACAUGACUGAAGAAACUGGUACUCUUGGAUACGUGGCUCCAAAGUGAGAACGUCUCAGCCGAGAAGAUCAAGAGCUGAUGCAGAAGCUUCCUGAUUCCAGCAAAUCAAACGCCGUUGAACAACAUAAAAUCUGUUUCACCCAAUUCAAAACUCUCCUUCUUUUACAGGAUUCAUUUGGUAAGAAGCUGAUGGAUAGGAUCCGGCCAACCCAACCCCGGUUCCUGCACAGUACUCUUCGUCCGCCUCUACCACGGUGUCUCAACCCAACUCCGGUUCCUGCCAUGUUGAUGCAGAUCCACAGCGACACUAUAGGUGUUGCCAAAUCUGCACUUUAAUCCUCCUAAGUUCAAUUUCAUGCCGCAAAUUUAGAGACACGAAAAGACAGAACUCUGAACAAGUAGAAGAACAAGAUCCACUUAUUAGUUGUUGUUCUUCUUUGAUGUAGUUGAACACAGUUGUAUGUUGGAAAUGACUUUGAUCGGCCAGUUUUGUAAAGAGUAUUCACUAAUUAGCUGACGCCUUGGAUUUUGCUCUUAUUCACUGCUUUUUAACCACUCUUCUGGUGAAAAUUAUAUACACUGGUAUACCUUCCUUCUUCUUCAAUCCAUUUGUUUGAUUCAGUUAAUCUUCUUUUAUUUCUUAGUCUUCUUCUUUUAACUGUGUAGCUAAGGAAGAGUUUGAGAAUCUAUGUUUAAUUCUUGGUAUUGAGCUUGAUGCUGUGGUAAGUCCAGCGUAUCUUUUUUUUCUCCCCUGAUUAGCAUCUGUGUUUUGCAAUGACUACUAGACAACUGAGAAAGCAAUCAUCAGGAAAGAAAAGCAUAUAGAAGAAGAAGAAGCUGAUGAUGACGAAGAAGUCAUCUACAAAUAAUAUAUCAAUCUGGCUGUGUAGUGUAUAUACACUGGUAUAUAUUUAUAUAUGAUAUUUUUAAACAAAUUUCGAGACUAAUGUUUAGGUUAAAUUUUAAAAGCAAUAAAAUCAGUCAAAUGUAUUGCUUUAAAAAUUUAACCUAAACAUUAGUCUCGAAAGCAAUAAAAUCAGUCAAAUGUAUUAAUAAUAGUGCAAAAGAAAAAAAAACGCUCCCUCCUCUCUCCUCGAAGAAGAAAACUCAGCCGGUGGUUUCUGCUCGACCGGCGUCCGUUGGCUCUCAAGCCACGGCGUUGAGCCUGUCCUUGUGUUCUGUUUCUUUGUUAGGUUCUAGGUCUCCUUGUUGUAUGAUGAAGCAACGGUCCACCGUUUGAGCUCCGGUUUGAUGUUGGUGUUUGAGCCCUAGAUCUGAAGAGGUGAUGAUGCAGCAGUGACUCUCUCGACCCUACCAGUGGCUUCCUAUCCUGAGGGCUCAGAUCUAUCCGCCUCCGUUUAACCGCACGGUUCGGUUCGUGUAGGCGCGUGAAGCGCGUGAAACACUCGUCCUUGGUUCUUCGUCUGAAUCGGGUCGUUGUGGGGGUGGUGGUAGCGAGUCUUGUGGAUCUGGUCUCUGAAGGAUGUGGGCUCUGUUCCGGCUUCUUAUCCAGCAAGUAGAUCUAGUUUUAUUUUUAAUUAUGUGCGUGUCAUGAAGUUUAGAUAUCUUUUGGCUGUUAUCUCUCUUAGAAAAUUAGUGGACCCUUUGGUAAUUUUUAGUCAUAAGCUUGUAGUGUUUUCGGGUUUUGAUGAUGGUGUGAACGCAUUCUAGUUUGUAGCUGCCGGCCUUUUGUUGUGUGGUCGGUGGUCGCUGACGGGCUUGACCUCAUUGAUCUCCAGAUCUGUUGAGAUUGGAGUGUUCUUUGUAAGGCUUUUAUUGAGGCGUAGUUUGGACGCAAUGAAGUUGUGUCGCUGCCGUAUCCGGAAGAGAAUGUGGUGCUAGAGUGGAUCUAUCUUGCCGGGUUAUAAAGUCUGGUUCGUUGGUUGGAGAGGUGUGCUCUCGGUGUUGUAGAGGUUGAUGUUAUCGUUUGGUUGGCCGAGGGUGACAACGAUAAAUCUCGUUCAGAAGUUAUUGCAAGCUUAUUGUACUAUUAUCACGGGGGGUUUGGAAUUUUCUUAUGUAGUAAUGUCACCCCUGUGUGGGUUUGAGUCGCUCCAGUGUGGGUUCUAGUUGCUGCUUCCUAUGGGCUAUUGGUUCUGGGGCUAUUUCGUUUGGUCGCCAGCUUUUGUAUGAAUAUUGAUAUUUUGCGUAUGAAUGAAUUUCAAUUUGGGAAAAAAAAAUCAGUCAAAUGUAUUAUAAACAAUCUACAAAAAUCAUAUUCGUGAAGUAAUUAAAUAAAAAUAGAGAAAAUCACAAGCUAUACAUUAGAAGCUAACAGUAAUAUUUUUUCAGAAUAUCCUAAUAUAUGUUCAUGUAUUUAAUUUGAUAAUUUCUUAAAAUAAAUAUGGUUAUUUUUAAGUAGUAACGAUCAAUAUUAAACUAUUAUACAGAUUAGCUAAUUUAGAAAAUAAAAUUUUACAUCGAUUCACCUUUCCAUUAUGCAAAGCUGGAUUUAGAAGAAAAUAUAAAAUUAUCAAUGGAUUAAAAAAAAGUUAUAAGAGAGAGAAAUUUCAUGCAAGAAACAAAAGUUUAAAA